GACGAAUGCUGGCUGCGUGUUUAACACAUGCAAGUCGAACGGUGAGCAGGGGCUUGCCCCUGGGAUCAGUGGCGAACGGGUGAGUAACACGUGGGCAACCUGCCCCUCACUCUGGGAUAACUCCGGGAAACCGGGGCUAAUACCGGAUACGACCUGGUGCGACAUCGCACCGGGUGGAAAGAACUUCGGUGAGGGAUGGGCCCGCGGCCUAUCAGCUUGUUGGUGGGGUAACGGCCCACCAAGGCGACGACGGGUAGCCGGCCUGAGAGGGCGACCGGCCACACUGGGACUGAGACACGGCCCAGACUCCUACGGGAGGCAGCAGUGGGGAAUAUUGCGCAAUGGGCGAAAGCCUGACGCAGCGACGCAGCGUGAGGGACGAAGGCCUUCGGGUUGUAAACCUCUUUCAGCGGGGACGAAGCGCAAGUGACGGUACCCGCAGAAGAAGCACCGGCUAACUACGUGCCAGCAGCCGCCGUAA
rnacentral:rRNA from 1 species